rnacentral:misc_RNA from 1 species
GAUGAAGAACGUAGCAAAAUGCGAUAAGUAAUGUGAAUUGCAGAAUUCAGUGAAUCAUCGAAUCUUUUAACGCACAUUGCGCCCGCCAGUAUUCUGGCGGGCAUGCCUGUUCGAGCGUCAUUUCAACCCUCAAGCACAGCUUGGUGUUGGGACUCGCGUUAAUUCGCGUUCCCCAAAUUGAUUGGCGGUCACGUCGAGCUUCCAUAGCGUAGUAGUAAAACCCUCGUUACUGGUAAUCGUCGCGGCCACGCCGUUAAACCCCAACUUCUGAAUGUUGACCUCGGAUCAGGUAGGAAUACCCGCUGAACUUAAGCAUAUCAAUAAGCGGAGGA